GACUAAUAUGACUCAUACAAGUUUUUUAAUAUCUUUUAUUAGUUAUAUAUUCUACUAUUUGUUACCAAAUCAUUUGAACCCCUAUCCCACUCUACCCCUUCCGUUUAUUUCCACGAAGUCAAAAUAGUUGCCAUUAUUCCUUACACCAAUAUAUACUCUGCGGCUCAAAGUUACACGAUUCGCUCAAAAGGUCGUGUACCACGUUUGGAACGUUCCGUACCCAAAUGUAGUACAAAAUCGAUCCCAACGGUGGCCGAAACGCUCUCUGGUACAACACCGAUUCAAUCAAGCAUAGAUACGAUGACGGGAACGCGAUUCUAUCGACUUGGAUUGCUCCGAUUCGCGUUUCUAGUACACCGAUUUGGCUCUUGGGUCGCUAAUUUGGCGAUUAGGCGGGAAUUGGAUUGUCGAGUCCAAAAAGCAACGAUUCACCAAAAACACACUUCGACUCUUUUUCUGAUUCCUUGAUACUAGGUACGAAUACCCUGUUAAUUCAUACCCCUCUCACCAUGAACUUCAUCUUCUUCAAUUACAUGAUUCUUGUAGUAAUCAUUUUUCCAAUUUCUACCUAUUAACAUUGACCUCCAGUAAUCAAUUUCCAAUUUCUACUUUUUCUUCUCUUCUACUCUUUUACUGCUAUUCUGUUAGUUAUUGAUAACGGUUUCCGGCACUAGUAUUCAUCUAUCAUAGAGUGAGAGUGAAACAUAAGCACUAGAAAAUUUUGUUGACAUUGGUGAGGACGGCAUACCAGUAGGCGUAUCAGGAAGCAAAAAUGAUAAAGAAGCUGGCAAACCUCUUUUGGAAGAAAUGACUGGUUGGUUCAGGUGCUAGUAAGAAUGUUGGUGGAUCAAAGUAAUGGAUUUGUAACCAUCGCAAAGUGAAAUAUACAAUCUCGUACACUAGAAUUCAUACGCAUUUCUUUGGUGCUCAAGCUGAGAAGCUGGCAGAAAUUAGAAGUUGUCCAGCUAUGAUUAAAGAUCCGUCCAAGCUACAACGAAUUUCGAGCAAGGUGAAAGAAGCCAAGAGCGGAGGUGUUUCAAGAUCCUUAAAAAACUCAGUCCUUUCAAAAAAUUCGUCAUCAUAAAAACGACUUAAGAAGCUUUUAGUGUCAUUGACGUAAUAUAGUGGACAUGAAGAUCAUGAGAUGGAUAUAAACCUCCAGCUAGUGAAUAGGCAAGAACGAUGAAUGUGUGGAGAGAUCGAUAAAGAACAAAUACAAGUGAAAGAUACUUGGUACACUCAGGGUGUUUCUAUUAUUCUGGAUGGGUGGUCUAAUAUCAAACAAAAGCCACUUCUCAAUGUUCUUGCCAUCAACGCUCGUGGUGCAGUGGUCAUGUACGUGGAAGAUUAGUGGGGGGUCGAGAAAACGGGAGUGGCGAUUUCCAAGUUUCUAAAAGGAGGAAUUGAAGCCGUUGGUCCAAGUAAUGUCUUGCAAGUGGUGACCGACAACGCGGCUAAUUGCAAAGCCGUCGGACGCGAGAUUGAAAAGUGUUCUUCCCACAGGCUACAAACUAAAUGGCCAAAACUAUAGUCUUCGGUCACAUUCUAUCUUGAUUUUCAUAGGAGGAAAAGGAAAAGAGGGAUACUUGGAGGAAGAUCUAAUUCAACCUGAAGAGAAAAGUCCCCAGUUUAAAAAAUGGAAAGCAGAAAACAACAUGGUCAUGUCAUGGCUCUUAAACUCAAUGACACCCGAAAUUGGAGAACAAUUUAUGUUUUAUAAAACUGCAUCAGAAAUUUGGGUUGCAGCCUGACACGUUUUCAAAUCAAGACAACACCUCAGCUUUUUGAAAUUAAAGGCAUCCUACAUGAUCUUCGUCAGGGGAACUGUAACAAGCUACUUUACAGCUCUAAACCGCCAUUGGCAACAACCAGAUGUUCUCGAUACCUUUACUUGGAGUUGCUCUGCAGAUGGAAAACACUAAAAGCAUAUACUGUAGACGGAAAGAAUCUACAGAUUCCUUCUUGGGCUAAAUCAAGAUCUUGAUGAGGUUCGAGGAAGAAUACUAGGUACGAAGUGAAUACCUAAACUCCGAGAAGUCUUCUCAGAAGUUCGUUGGGAAGAAAGUGGAAGAAGGGGCAUGCUUGGUACUAGUAGCAAUCCAAUAACCGAAGGAACUGCUCUUGCAACUCGAUUUCCACCCAACACCAAACCAACAUCAGGUUCUGGACCUUCUCAGAACCUUCUCAAAAGAAGAUUGGACGACCAUGGUGUGAUCAUUGCAAGUGACCAAGGCAUAUUAAAGAAACCUAUUGGAAGAUUCAUGGUAAACCUGCUGAUUGGAAACCCAGUUCACGUAGAAACGUAGCAACAAGUGACACUCAAGAGAUGUUUACAAAGGAACAAAUUGAAGCACUUCGGAGGAUUUUGCAAUGUCCAUCCUUCGAAGAGAAAGGAACAGCCGUUGUCACACAACAAAGUGGGUCCUCAUCAGCAUUUACAACAUGUACUUCAGGCCUUGAAUUUGGGGAAGAUGAUUGGCAGUGCUAAAGUCUUUGAUGAACUCUGCCACUGUGAAACUGAGCAUUCGGAUAAAAGUCAAGUUGCAUCUUCAUUUAAUGUUUCUAGUCAAAAUAGUGUGAUGUUAUGGCAUUAUAGAUUAGGUCACCCAAACUUCUCCUAUCUUCAAAAAUUGUUUCCAUAUUUAUUCAAUAAAAACCCGAAUGAUUAUAAAUGUGAAGUGUGUCAAAUAUCCAAGCACAUUAGACAUACUUAUUCUCCUUUACAAUAUAAGCCUUCCCAUCCUUUUCAUUUAAUCCAUAGUGAUGUUUGGGGACCUAGAGUGAAAAACAUAUCAGGUGCGAGAUGGUUCGUAACAUUUAUCGCCGAUCAUACUCGCAUCAUAUGGGUCUUUCUGAUGAAAGAAAAAUCUGAAGUUGGAUCAAUCUUUCGGUCAUUCUAUCAAAUGAUUCAAAAUCAAUUUGCAACCAAAAUUCAAAUCCUUAAAUCCGACAACACAAAGGAAUAUUUCCACUUUGAAUUGGGCAAUUACCUAACUCAACAAGGAAUUGUCCAUGUUACGUCGUGUGUUGAUACCCCACAACAAAAUGGCGUCCCUGAGAGGAAGAAAUAAGAACAGACGUCUUCUUGAGGUAACCCGGUCUCUAUUGUUCUCAAGUCCAGGUAUUCUCAAGUCCAGCCCCUACCUAAAGCACAUACUCCUGUCGGAAUUAUGUGGAAUAUCAGUAAUUUAAUGUAUCAUAAUUUGAAUUCCUCAGAGUCUAUUCAUCAUGCAGAAAUUCCCACUUCAGCACAUACUCUUGUUGGAAUUAACUUUGAAAUCGCUACUCCACCGUUAAAUGAAACAUCAGAUAAAGAGGGUGAUAAGGAUUACAUUUUUUAAACUAGACGCCAAAACAACAUGUGGUGGUAAAGCAAGUCACAACUGUGGCACACAAUCAUGAAUCAUUCCUGGAUUCUCAAGAAUUCUAAAGGUGGGAUUAAUGAGAGGAUGGAUAAUAUGAUGGGGGGAAAUCAAAGACAUAAUGCAAGAAAAUACUUAUGCUAGCUAUUACCAACAAGUGAAGAUAAUUUUAAAUAGAUGGGAGAAGAUGAAUAUCCCACUACAUUGUUUGGGGUUUGCAUUAAACCCACGGUUUUAUGAUAGGCAAUAUCUUCAAAAAAUGACACCUGGUGGUAUGAAAAGGAAACCACCAAAUUUAGACAAAGAGGUUAUGCAAGGUGUCAUGGAAUCCUUCAAUAGAAUUUCUGAAAAUGAAGAGGAGGGGCGAUCGUUACGAGAGCAAUUCGUAACAUUCCAUAUGACGAAAUGUAUCUACUCUACAGCGGAAACACAAACUUAUGCUUUGACAAUUGAUCCAAUAGAUUGGUGGUCUACCUAUGGAGCCAAAACCCCAAAUUUGGCCUUUGUAGCAAAGAAGGUACUUUCACAACCUGUUAGUAGCUCGUUGGCGGAAAGGAAUUGGAGUACGUAUUCUUAUAUUCAUAAUGUGAAAAGAAACCGGUUGAAUGAAAAAAGAGCCGACAAAUUGGUUUACAUUCACUCCAACAUUCAACUCGUAUCUCGUUUCCAUGAAUCAUACAAAUCUGGCCCACACAAAAAGUGGGACAUCAAUCCCAAAAGCACUUACAUUGAAGGCUCAAGUUCUCGAUUAGAUGACAUGAUUUGGGAGAAUUUAGAUGAAGAAAAUGUGGAAAAUGGACAAGGAAAAAGGCAAUGGGUAGAUUGACUUGUUAGGUUUUUAUUUUUGUUUGUUUACGAUUCCUGUUUCUGUUUUUAAGUGGUUAGAAAACUGUUUCUGUUUUUGAUUUCCAGCAUGUAAACUUUAUAAUCCAUGUAUUUUGAUAUUAUGAAUUAUGGAAUCAUAAAAUACCUUGCUGGA